rnacentral:lncRNA from 1 species
CGGCGUGCUCGUGCCAUGUGCCUGUCAGUUCUGCAAGCAUUUGUUGGAUGUGAAGGUUGGUGUGAUGACCACGCUGCCCACAACAGGGGUCCUGUCUUUGUGAUGUCAGCGUGAAGUGGAAUUCGCAGAAUGGCUAAAGUGGAGGGAAGACUUAAAAUGCAUUGGAUGAUGAUAGCAGCGUCAUUUACAAUCACCACGACUUGGAAGCAGCCGAGAUGUCCUUUGGCAGAUGAUUGGAGAAAUGAACUGUGGCACGUCCAUGCAGACCAUGAAAUACUAUUCAGUGCUAAAAAUGAGUGAGCUUUCCAUCCAUGAAAAGACAUAGAGAAACCUGAAAUGCAGAUCACAAAGUGAAAGGCCAAUCUGGAAAGGCUACACACCCUAUGACUCCAACCUGUGACAUUCCCAAAGAGGGAUUUUUCCAAAGAGGAAAAAUUAUGGGGACAGUAAAAAGAGGAGCUGCCAUCAUUAGGGAAGCAGGAGUUGAGGAGAGUCAGAGUGACACCACUGAAAAAUCUUCUCUGUCUUGAGACUAACAAGGUACCUUCCUUGCCAGUCACAACCCAUGGUCCUAAGAUGGUCACAGCUAAGGAGGCAGCUUGGUACUGCCUGCAAGGACAAACUCCUAAAACAACAGAAAGCCCAGAUGUCCCAAUACCCAUAGCAAUAUGUGCUUUCAAGAUAAUUAUAGAUGUGCUUUGAUGUACUCAUGUACUAGACUGUUAAGGAUAGUUUUCUUUAAAUCAGUAGCAUAAUCAAUUUUGUCAUGCUGUCUGCUCCCCCUCACAGAGUCGCAGCUUGGUUUAGUCAUUACGUAGACAAGACCCCUAUAUAAGAAAAACUUAAAACAAAGACGGUGCAUUCUCUCGGAAGGUCCCGUGCUCUGUAAUGGAGUAGGUUUUAAUAAACGUGCUUCC